rnacentral:rRNA from 1 species
AACGCGAAGAACCUUACCCAGGCUUGACAUCCUUGGAAGCUCUACGAAAGUAGAGUGUGCUUUUAGAGCCAAGUGACAGGUGAUGCAUGGCCGUCGUCAGCUCGUGUCGUGAGAUGUUUGGUUAAGUCCAUCAACGAGCGCAACCCUUGUGAUUAGUUGAAUUUUUCUAAUCAGACUGCCCUGGUAACAGGGAGGAAGGAGGGGAUGAUGUCAGGUCAGUAUUUCCCUUACGUCUGGGGCUACAAACACGCUACAAUGGCCGGUACAAAGGGCAGCCAAGUCGCAAGACGGAGCAAAUCCCAUCAAAGCCGGUCCCAGUUCGGAUAGCAGGCUGAAACUCGCCUGCUUGAAGUCGGAAUCGCUAGUAACGGUAGGUCAGCUAUACUACCGUGAAUACGUUCCCGGGCCUUGUACACACCGACAUA